GUGAAUCAUCGAAUUUUUGAACGCAAAUUGCACUCUCCUCGGAUAGUAUGCCUGUUUGAGGGUCAGCCUAUAAAAAAUCGACAUCGUUGCUGUUUCGCGAUGGCGUUCGUCGGAAAUUGGGGCAUCUUAAGUCUUUUGGGUUUAAGCGACUUAAAAUUUUCCUUUUUGUUCCAUGAACGUUUCUAAGAUUUAUUUCUUUACACGUUUAGGAUAUCGAUUUUUAUUAGACGUGACCAUCAUAUCGGAUCUCGACCAUAAUCUUUCAGUAACUGACCUCUGACAG
rnacentral:misc_RNA from 1 species